UACGUAGGGUGCAAGCGUUGUCCGGAAUUAUUGGGCGUAAAGAGCGCGUAGGCGGCGCGGUAAGUCACUUGUGAAAUCUCUGAGCUUAACUCAGAACGGCCAAGUGAUACUGCAGUGCUAGAGUGCAGAAGGGGCAAUCGGAAUUCUUGGUGUAGCGGUGAAAUGCGUAGAUAUCAAGAGGAACACCUGAGGUGAAGACGGGUUGCUGGGCUGACACUGACGCUGAGGCGCGAAAGCCAGGGGAGCAAACGGG
rnacentral:rRNA from 1 species